rnacentral:misc_RNA from 1 species
ACAAACUUGGUCAUUUAGAGGAAGUAAAAGUCGUAACAAGGUCUCCGUUGGUGAACCAGCGGAGGGAUCAUUACGAGUUCUGCGGCCCCCGCGCCGACGACUCUUCAACCCGACAGUGCAAUUUUAUCGCCCGGAAACGGCUACGGCCGAUUCCUGGCGCCGCCCAGGCAGGGCCGCUCGCUGGGGGAGCCAAUAUAAAUAAGGCGGCCGGUCCCUUCUGACCGGUGGCCCUGCCGAAGCGACAGCCCCGAGAGGGUGCUGGAGCUGAAUGGAAAACACAGCGAUCGACCCCAUAGGGGGAAGCCCGUCAUGGGCAACAUCUUUCUGAGAACAAGAAAUAAACCGAGAAAUUACAACUCAUAACAAUGGAUCUCUUGGCUCCGGCAUCGAUGAAGAACGCAGC